AGUGCCCUCGUCCCCCGCAGUCUCUGUGCGUUGAAGCCGGAGACAGCGGCGGCCUCAGCGAGGACCCUCCGCCCCGGAGCCGCCGGCUGGAGCCACAGCCUCUGCCGCAGCGUCCCCGCCACCUGUCCCCUCCCCCGCCGCCUCCGCCGGAGCCGCCUCGCGCACUCUGGGGUAUGGCCGUCAAUGUGUACUCCACAUCUGUGACCAGUGAAAAUCUGAGUCGCCAUGAUAUGCUUGCAUGGGUCAAUGACUCCCUGCACCUCAACUAUACCAAGAUAGAACAGCUCUGUUCAGGUAGGAGGCUGGGAAUAUGGGAAGUGGCCCUGCUGGAAGGAAAGGAAAGAAAGGUCGGAAGGCAGAGCAGCCACAGCAGGGAAUAUACAGUCAUGCAUGGCUGAAUGACUGAUGUGCCCAGAGAAAUGCAUCCUUAGGCAAUGCUUUUGUUGUAUGAACAUCACAGAGUGUAUUUACACAAACUUGGACGGUGUAGCCUAGGACACACCUCGGCUAUAUGGUAUAGCCUACUACUCCUAGGCUAAAAACAUGGACAGCAUGUUUCUGUACUAACUAUUGC
rnacentral:sRNA from 1 species